UUAGAGCUUCUCGCAGAGUUCAAUCCUGAUCUUGCCAAAGUCAUUUUGGGGAAUUCUCCAUACAACUCAAAGUACACAUCUACAGAUAUUCAAAAGGAAAUCUUGUCCAUAUAUGCAUCUAAAGUUAGGAGACAUAUCUGUGAAGAAAUUGGGGAUUCCAAAUUCUCUAUUCUGGUGGAUGAGACAUGUGAUGUGGCUAAAAGAGAACAAAUGGCAUUGGUUUUCAGAUUUGUUGAUAAAGCUGGCUUUUCACAAGAGCGGUUCUUUGAUUUGAUACAUGUGGCCAACACUAAGGCCAUGACACUGAAAGAGAAAUUGUGCUCUGCAUUAUCAUUAAAUGGUUUUGAUAUUCAAAAUCUUCGUGGACAAGGAUACGAUGGGGCUAGUAACAUGAGAGGAGAGCUAAAUGGAUUGCAGUCUCUUUUUCUCAAGGUAUGCCCAUAUGCAUACUAUGUUCAUUGUUAUGCUCACAGGUUGCAACUAGCACUAGUAGAUGCAUCCAAAGAGGUGGUUCCUGUUGCCCAGUUUUUUCAGAAAUUGAUCUUCAUUAUUAACACUGUUGACUCCUCAUCAAAACGCCAUGAUGAGCUCCAUGAUGCCCAGCUGGUAGAACUAGCACGCAUGAUAGAAAAUGGAAGCAUUCAGACUGGUCAAGGGGCAAAUCAGAUUCGGUCACUUAAAAGACCUGGGGACACUAGGUGGGGUUCUCACUUUGGUUCUAUUCAUAGCCUUAUGAAGUUGUUCAAUGCAGUAAAUUUUGUUAUCCAAGAUAUGGCUUCAGAUAGAUCAGUAGUGGGAUCAAUACGUGUUGAUGCUGACACUUCUUUCAGCUAUUUGUCCUCGUUCGAGUUUGUCUUUAUCUUAUGUAUGAUGAAGGAGAUAUUAGGGAUAACUGAAGGACUUGGUCAGGCUUUACAAAAGAGGUCACAAGACAUUGUAAAUGUUAUUCGUCUAGUAUUUGCAACAAAAGAGUGUCUUCGUAUCUUGAGAUCGGACAAUGGCUGGGAGGAAUUCUUUUGCACAGUGGUUGAAUUUUGUGUGAAUCAUGGCACUGAAGUUCCAGACAUGAAGGAAACUUAUAUCAUGCGUGGUGGCCGUGCACGGCAUCAGCCUGAUCAUUUCACUAAGGAGCAAUAUUUUCGAGUGGAGAUAUUUCGUGCAACUCUUGAUAGCCAACUACAUGAAUUGGAUCGCAUGUUCAAUGAGAAGAUGAUGGAUCUUCUAUCCACCAGUGCCACAUUAAUUCCUAGAAAUAAAUUUAAAUCUUUUUCUAUAGCUAGUGCUGAACGUGCAUUUUCCAGUAUGAAGAUCAUCAAAACAAGGCUGCGUAAUACGAUGGAAGAUGAGAAUCUCGCCAAUAACUUGGUUGUUCAAAUAGAGCGUGAAAUUGCAGAGAAGUACACCUUUGAGGACAUUUUAGCGGAAUUCAAGAGCAUAAGUGAUCGAAAAGCUGAUAUGUAG
rnacentral:rRNA from 1 species